ACUGAGAAUUGUGUCGCUGCUCAGCACUUUCUCCUCGAACGUGUGAAUUACUCCGUGUCAACCAAAGGUGAAAAUGAUAUCGACACAAUCAUCGCCUUGGAAGCUUCAUCACGAUACUACUUUGCAUUUCUGAAGAGGGAAGAAGAAAUCAAUAUGCAAAUUCAAUUCCAUGGUUUUGGAAGUCCCUUUGAGAACACGAUUCAUUUGCGCCGGCAUAAUGCUCUGACCGAGAAAGAAUUGAAGAGCCAGGACUGAGGGAAUCCUGCAUCGUUACGGUGUCAUCGUUGAGGGAGUGCUGCACUGCUGAAGGGCCGAUAGUAAGGGAGUGUGACACUGUCAGAGUGUCAUUACCAAAGGUGGGCUACAGUAUCAAAGGUACCACGCUGAGUAUUGUUAUCCCGAUAGUUCUUUCGUAUCAGUCCGUGUGUAUUCCUGGGCGAAUGUGCUCGUGUGGUCUCAGGAGUUGCGGAGGUCACAGCUCUGGGACAGCCGUUUCAUCGCCCAAUGCUGCAGGAAAAAAGCAAUGAAAGUGCCGUUAAUUUUUUGCACGGCGAGCUGCUGCAUACUAACCGGUCUCACACCAUUACCAUCACCUUGCCCUUGUGAAGGCAGAUAUGGAUAAGGUUCUAAAAGCUGAUAGAAGAUUGAAACCACUCUAAUCCUGUGACGAUGAACCUGCCCCGGAAGAGAGAGCCCAGAGAAUUGCCAAAGCUGUCCGCAAACAGUCAAUAGAAGUGAAGGAAAAUUGGGAACAACUGAAAAUCCGUGCGAGCAACUGGCAGAAACAGGUGGAAAAGGCGUUGGAGAAACUUCAAGAACUGCACAAAGUUCUGGAUGAUCUUGAGGCUCAUGUGAUAACAGCUGAGGGGGUCCACACUGGCAACCUGUGAGUGACCUGCUUAUUGACUCAUUGCAGGAUCACAUUGAUAAAACCACAGGUGAGGACUAUCUGCAAAAUCUGAGAUUGGGUUUUGAAAGACUGCAGCCUUUGUUUUGGAGAGAUAAUGGGAACUGCAGAUGCUGGAGAAUGCGAGAUAACAACGUGUGGAGCUGGAUGAAGACAGCAGGCCAAGCAGCAUCUUAGGAGCACAAAAGCUGACGUUUCGGGCCGAGAACCUUCUUCAGAAAAUGGGGAGGGGGUGCGGGUUCUGAAAUAAAUAGGGAGAGAGGGAGAGGCGGAUGGAAGAUGGAUGGAGGAGAAGAUCGGUGGAGAGGAGAGUAUGGGUACGGAGGCAGGGAGGGGAUAGGUCAGUCUGGGGAGGCCGGACAGGUCAA